GAGAGUUGAGCCCUCAAAAUAGUAACGUAGGCUUCAAACCACCGUAAGCUGUUGUAAUCAAAAGUUUUGGUAGUGAGUCUUACUGAAAGGUGAAGUUACAGACUUCUUAGGU
rfam:Paenibacillaceae bacterium GAS479 genome assembly, chromosome: I